rnacentral:lncRNA from 1 species
UCUCCUGAGCAGAUACUGAGUGAAGAAGCCAGUUAUAAUUUGUGGACUUUUCUGGCCCCAGCUAGGGCACACGGGAAGCCAAGCAAGCUCAAGGCUGGGCUCUGACUGCAUAGGUGCCCCAUCUGGUGGGAGGGCUUAUUCAGCCGGUACCAGAGCUGGGGAGACGGUGAUUAUACGCAAAGCCAGAGGUUUGGAGCUCCGAAGCCAACAUCCCAGCAACCUGUCCUAGCCCCUGUGGCACUGGGACUGGCAGCCCUCGGGGACACAGGAGCCUGCAGGGGUAGCAGCAGCCAGUCUACUGGUUCCUGCCUGUUCCACCCAGCCUCUCUGUGUGUAGAUCUGAAAUGUUCCACACUUUUUUUUCCUGCUGGUGAACCCAGGGUCUCAUGUGCACUGGGCUAGUCUUCUCUACCACUGACAAGGCCCCAGCCCUUUGUUAGUUUAAUUUGACACAGUAUCUAAGUUGCCCAGGCUAGUAAUCCUCCUGUCUCUGCCUCUUGAGUAGCUUCCUAUACGACCCCUUCAGACCCAGUGCAUUUUUAAUUAAUUGGUUAAUUAUAUUGGGGAAGGGAUGAGACAAGGUCUCACUGUGUAGCCCAGGCUGGCCUUCUCCAGGAUGGCCCUCGUGGCUAUUCUGUUCUUCCUUUCCUUCCUCCCGCCCUUCCCAUGCUUGUCCCCAUACCUCCCCCCUUUACAGGAACAUGGACUUAUAUAGAAGAUUUAUAGGGGAAUAACUCGAGUGAGAUUUGUCUGUGGUGUAGAGCAUAAAGGAGAUAAAACUGGGUUCUCCCCAAGGGAGACACAUGUGGCAGAGCACAGUGUCUAACUGCCCAGACUCGUCCUAGCUCACCUGGACUGAAACUGCUGACCCUUCUCACUGCCUGCCUGGGAAGCCACUGUGGACCUCGGAGCCCAGGACAGGGAGGGUCACACGGUAUUCCUAGGGGGCACACACCUGGGGUUGCCACAGGAGCCAGCAUGGCACCAAAGAGGCAGGAACCAAUCACAGAAGCAGGAUACCAACAGGCCAAGCCCUAGAAAGGUGGCCCUACCAGGGCCAGGCUGAUGGGGAGAGAGUCUUCAGAUGCCACCGUGGAGGGACUCCACUUUGAUGCCAGCCACCCCACGGCUAUUGAUGGGUCUGAAUGCAGGUGCUGGGCUUGUCACUCUAAAGGCCAGCCACAGGCAUGCAGGCAAAACACCCAUUCAGAUAAAAUCAAUGGAUAGAGUAUUUUAAGGUUGAGGUUGGCCCACUGCAGAGGUGUUUCUGCACCUGGUGCCCUCUGGUCGGCUGGAAGAAGCCAGAGUGGGCGUUCCCUCAAUUCCUUCUGGCAGUUCUUGACAGGAGUAGGGGUGAUGAAAAAACUCCAAAGAAUGGGCAAUGCUGGCACAUGCCUUUAGUACCAGCACUCAGGAGGCAAAAGCGGGUGGAUCUCUGUGAGUUCAAGGCCAGCCUGGUCUACAGAGUGAGUUCCAGAACAGCGCAAGACUAUCCAGAGAAACUCUGUCUUGGGG